rnacentral:tRNA from 1 species
CACAGCAUGGGCGGGUUGAUCGCGGCGCGCUUUGCCACAGCGCGCGUGCGCCAGGUGCGCGCGCUGGUGCUGUCA